GCCACUCCGAAGAUAGGAGCCAGUAUCUUCUUCUGGGUCUCCCACGUGGGUUCAGGGUCCCAAGGCUUUGGGCCGUCCUAGAUUGCUUUUCCAGGCCACA